CAAAGAGGUGGACACCUAACCGACUGAACACCCAGGCGCCCCUGUAGUGUCUUGAUCUUAAAACAAAUACAGCAGGGUCAGCUUUUUCUGGAAGACUGUGGUCAGGAAGAUGUCCAGAACAAAACCAAGAAGCACCCAUCUGUCUCGUUUACUCGAUAUAGCUCAUCGCCAAUGAAACUGCAACCGUGAAGAAAACAAAGACACUGGAAAGAAUGGGGUGGAGACAGUAUCCCAGGCUGGGGGAACAGCCCGAGCAAAGACACGGCAUCCUCAGGGGACUCUGAGCAGACUAGCUACGCUCUACCCAGGCACUCAUCAGACCCUUGGUCAUCCCAGGCGUGGACAAGUGAAGCAAAGCAUCGCUGUGAUGGAGAGGUCUGCCUGCCAGGAGACCGGCACAGUCCAGGCCUGCCUUUGCCUCGCUGCCUGUAGGCACGAAGGGUUUCUGCUUUACAACAGCCGUUUGUUUCUAACCCUGCCGCGUCUUAGAAUCCAACACCUGGAGUGUCUUUGUGGUUUCGUCGGGUAGGCUGAGCACGCUUUUGGCAGUGUUUAGCUUCCUCUGUUGAAGGUCAUGUAACCAGAUGGGGCUGAGAUGGUCUCCCACUUCUGAGGACUGCUACCAUUGUAGGUUCGAAAGAACAGUCACUGGGAACAGAGGCAAACCAGUUUAAGACGAAGCAAACAACCAAACCAGCCCUUGAGGACACCCGAGACUGUGAGAAGAGCAGAUCAAAGCACAUUUGGGACACUGACUUCUUACUCUCAGGCCACGCUGAUGGGCACGGUGCUACAUGCUUUGCACAAUUAACUCUUGUCAUCCAGGCCCAGACCCAUGAGGAGAAAUGCCCUCGGGAUCACACAGCUUGGAAGGGGCAUAGCGGAGAUUUAAAUGGAGGUCUGAUUCUAGCACCGGAGCUCAGAACUCAAAAUCGCUGCAUGAGAACACCUCAUCUGUUAAGUGGAAUAACAGCAGGACCCACCUCCCAAUGGGAAUGUUCUGCGGUUCGGAAGAGGCCAUCUAUAUACAGCCUUCAUAAGGGGUCAGUCAGGUCAUGGCUGCCAUUACCAAUCUGCUUUUGCUAAACCCACUGUUAAUGUUGCUCAGUUCAGUGCUUUGGGGCACACGCUGUUACCAAGUCCUUCUCUUUUCUGGGUUCGGUUCUCAACUGGUUUCACUUUUAAAAGAUAUUCUAUGAAAGCAAUUCUGGAGGCAGCAUCCUUCCUUCCGUGGGGUUUCAGAAGAGGCAUCUAUCCUUAAGAAGAGGGGCAGAGGGAGCCUGGUGUCUAAACAUGGCCAGCAGAGCCCUACUGGGAAGCUGCCCAUGGGGUCUCUCCACCCCACAGGUGGCCGGUUCCUACAACCAACCACCUCCCCUCCACCCAGACUGCAACCAGCCUCCCUCACUGCUCUCUCCCUUUCAACCCUGUGCCCUGAGCUGCAGCCAGCCUACAUGGAGGGCACACUCUCUCCUCCAACUGCCCCGUGACAAGGGCUCUGCCUUGCUCGCCUCCCCACAAGUUCCAGACCACGGUUUUCCCCAGUCCCCUUCCCGGCUCUCAGCUGGGGUUUCAGAAACACGUGGCUGUGAGUCUGGCCCUUUACAGUCAGGCUUCACUUUGGACAGCCCUAAAGAGGGGCUCUGUCUUCACCGGUGAAGAAAAAAUAGAGCAGGGUCAUCCCUAAAGAAUUAAGAACUCCAUUCUCAAAAUACGGCCCAAAUCUGCUCCAGAGAGAAUGAGUUUUAGUCACAAGAUUAGAAAUCAUCAAAAUUGCUGGAAACUGUAGAAUUGGAUCUUACUCUCCAAUAGAAUAGAAUAAGUUAUGUUCUUCUGCCCUCUACUGGUAAAGAGCAGCAUCAGCGCUCCCAGAGCCCUCAGCAAGGAUGCAAACAAAAGAUGGUGGGGACUCACGCUGCUCCCUUCUCUUUCCUAGAGACACGCUGGAUGGGACUUCUGCUAUUAACUCGUGGCAGGAGGAGGGGGAGGCUACCAUCAGCAAGAUGCCCAGGUGGACUAGAAACGUGCCCCUCUGUCUUAUAUCCAGGGAGGCUUCAAACUUCCAGUGAACCCAGAACCAUGGAUGAUGGCCCUUCGCACUGGCCCAGAGGGUGAGGACAGAUGUUGCCCGGGACUGCGAGCAGGACUCUAGGCUGAGGGAACAGCCUAAGCAAAGGAAUGAAUGGCACACCGAGGGGAACCAUGAAUGAACCAAAGGUCCACCCCUUGGUCAUUCCAGGCACAGAGAAGAGAUGCUAUUUCAUUCCCAGGAGAGAGCUUCCAUUGCUCAGAAGACAUGGGUUUUAUACAGAUACACCCCUUGGACUGGGUACAUCCCUGUUCCCCCCACCCCCCCGGCCUCAGUUUCCUCAUUUGUACAAUGAAAGGGCUGGAGGAGAAUGAUGUGAGGUCCUUUCUGGCUCAGAGAUUCUGGUAACCAACCCACGGGCCUUAACCUAAGGGGACCACUGCCUACACGCUGAGGGCGGAAUAUGCUUCUUGGCCACUUGCCCUCUCCUUCCAGGCAGGCUUCCCCAUUGCACGGGGCAUGCAACCCCCUCCCCUCACCCUCUUUUGUGAUUCUUAUCUUGUACUGCCUGUGGCACAGUGGUGGAAGCUUUUUUGUUCAUGCAAUCAAAAUGGCGGCCAACUCCCACCAUGUGUUGGGUUCUCUGACCAGGCUUCUGCUCGUCCUCGGGCUCAUUAGGAGUGGGGGUUCAAAGGUCAACCAACUGCCACAACACAGCAGCAUCCAACCACCUCCUGAACAAACCCAGCACUUGAGAAGAAUAAGUAAAUAAAGCUGCAUUUGCUUCCUUUUUUCCCUCCCCACUUGGAUAUUCAUCACAUCAUUAGCUACAAGUAAAUAUAUCAGUGGGAUUAAUGGAGUGAAUCACAAAGCAACCUGAUUAGAUUGAAAACCACACUAUUUCUUUGGGGUGAACUGGUAAAUUUAGCACUGCCCAGAGAUGAUGGAUUGAGAAACCAGGAAUGGAGCUCUUAUUGAUCUUGAGAAUAGAUCGGUACGAGGAGGAGAGGCUGGGAUGGCUUCCUGUGCUCGGUUCUCCGAGAGAGAGGAAUCAUGGCUUCCCUGCUCACUGAACUGCACAGAAAUAGCGUGUGCUGUUCUGGGCUCAUAGUCGGAGUCGUGAUCACACGCGGUUAGGUAGUGUCCAAGAUGGACACCAACGAUCCUACCCCUGGUAUUCACGUCCUUUCUCCGGAGUGUAAACCAGAACCAGAGGCUUGCUUUCAACCCUCCAGAAUGCAGAAGCAAUGACUUGCCACUUCUGAGACAAGGUUACAAACAGACCAUGGCUCUGGUCUCAGCUGCUCUCUCUCACCUUCUUUUGGGUUGUUUGCUCUGGGGGAACCCUGGUGAGGGAGCCCUAUAGAGAGACCCAUGGAUGUGAGCCUGAACGCGGAUCCUCCAAGGCCUGCCAACAGCCUUGGAAGUGAACUUACAAGCGGAAGCUCCCCGGGGUGAGCUCUGAGAUGACUGGAGGCCAUGUCGACAUCCUGACUGCAGCCUCAUGGGAGACGCUGAUUCAGAACCACCCAACCAAGAUGCUCCUGGAUUCCGGACCCACAGAAAUAAACUAUAAUGGGAUAGC